rnacentral:rRNA from 1 species
GAUGAACGCUGGCGGCGUGCCUAAUACAUGCAAGUCGAGCGAACAGACGAGGAGCUUGCUCCUUUGACGUUAGCGGCGGACGGGUGAGUAACACGUAGGUAACCUACCUAUAAGACUGGGAUAACUUCGGGAAACCGGAGCUAAUACCGGAUAAUAUUUCGAACCGCAUGGUUCGAUAGUGAAAGAUGGCUUUGCUAUCACUUAUAGAUGGACCUGCGCCGUAUUAGCUAGUUGGUAAGGUAACGGCUUACCAAGGCAACGAUACGUAGCCGACCUGAGAGGGGGAUCGGCCACACGGGAACUGAGCCACGGUCCAGACCCCCAGGGGAGGCAGCAGUAGGGAAUCUUCCGCAAUGGGCGAAAGCCUGACGGAGCAACGCCGCGUGAGUGAUGAAGGGCUGCGGAUCGUAAAACUCUUUUUUUAGGGAAGAACAAACGUGUAAGUAACUGUGCCCGUCUUGACGGUACCUAAUCAGAAAGCCCCGGCUAACUGCGU